rnacentral:rRNA from 1 species
GGCCUACCAUGGUGGUAACGGGUAACGGGGUGUUAGGGCACGACACCGGAGAGGGAGCCUGAGAAACGGCUACCACAUCCAAGGAUGGCAGCAGGCGCGCAAAUUACCCAAUCCCGACACGGGGAGGUAGUGACAAUAAAUAACAAUACGGGGUUCUUUAGGAUCUCGUAAUUGGAAUGAGUACAAUUUAAAUCUCUUAACGAGGAGCAAUUGGAGGGCAAGUCUGGUGCCAGCAGCCGCGGUAAUUCCAGCUCCAAUAGCGUAUAUUAAAGUUGUUGCAGUUAAAAAGCUCGUAGUUGAAUUUCGGGGCCAGUAGGUUGGUCGUGCCACUGGUAUGUACUGGCCUUACUGGUCCCUCCCUCUUGUAGAACCGUGAUGCCAUUAAUUUGGUGUUGCGGGGAAACAGGACUGUUACUUUGAAAAAAUUAGAGUGCUUAAAGCAGGCUCGCGCUUGAAUACAUUAGCAUGGAAUAACGGAAUAGGACGAUCGAACCUAUUUUGUUGGUUUCUAGGAUCGACGUAAUGAUUAAUAGGGAUAGUUGGGGGCAUUAGUAUUCAAUUGUCAGAGGUGAAAUUCUUGGAUUUAUUGAAGACUAACUACUGCGAAAGCAUUUGCCAAGGAUGUUUUCAUUAAUCAAGAACGAAAGUUAGGGGAUCGAAGACGAUCAGAUACCGUCGUAGUCUUAACCAUAAACUAUGCCGACUAGGGAUCGGAUGAAGUUAAUUUUUUAAUGACUCAUUCGGCGCCUUACGGGAAACCAAAGUGUUUGGGUUC